UUGAAGAGGCAUUAUAUGCAAAAACGUGCUGACAAAUUUGGUGUGUAUGUGUUGUAAGGACAAAAUAGCAGAACUGAAAAAAAGUCUGUCUUUUCAACAAAAAAGAUUUUUUAAAAAGUUACAACUCGGACUCAAUCGUAAGGUAAAACCUAGUUAUGUGGUAGCAAAUUUAAUAGCAAAAAAAUCAAAACCAUUUACUGAUGGUGAGUUUAUUAAGCAAUGUCUGGAAGAUGUGGUAGAUAUUAUUUGCCUUGAGAAACUGAUAUUUCUAAAAUCAGUUUGUCUCACCAGACUAUAGCCAGGAGAAUUGGAGAAAUUGGGAAAUCUAUUGAAAGACGUUUGGAGAGUAAAACUGCUAAUUUAAAAUUUUAUGCUUUGGUGAUGGAUGAAGGCACUGACACUACAGAUACGGCACAACUUGCUAUUUUUAUUAGAGGUAUUGAUGAUGAAUAUAAUGUCACUGAAGAAAUCGAAAUGUCACCAUGCUAUUAAAAGACACAACUAAAUCAAGAGAUUUAUAUGAAGCAGUGAAAAAUAUGUUAAAGCAAUUUUCUUUGUCCUUUGUAAACAUAUGUGAUAUAGCUACAGAU
rnacentral:lncRNA from 10 species